GGUGACCGGCAACUAGGAACCCUAUUAACCUGAUCAGUUAGAUACGAAAUGGGAAUGUGAAGAGAGAGUAUCAAACACUUGAGAACUGUUCUGAGAGGGAUGGGUAGCCUGUGCUGGGCUAGCAAAGGAAUCAAGAGAAAGCCUCCCAGGCAGAUAAAAUCCAAUGCACCCUGCAGCUGCUGGAGACACCCCCUGAUGCAAGGUGCUGGUUUUGUCUUCCUACUUAGACCUAGGAGCUUUUGGACAGCAGGGACUAUGCCUCAAACUUGGGUUUGUCCCAGAGAGCGGAAGACACUAUACGCUGUUGCUCUCACAUUAAGGGACCAAGGCUGGGAAUCACUUAAGCUUCAGAAAUCUGAUUGAAGCUUUGGAUCUGCCUUCUGCAUUCUUUUCCACAAUGUUAAGAGUGAAACAAACACAUCUGGAAGCAGUAACUGGACAUUCCAGUGCUGUCUGCUGUUUAAGUCUGUCAGUAUACAGAGACAAAUAAAUAGGAGAGUUUUGCUUUCAA